rnacentral:tRNA from 1 species
GGUGGAAUGGCUGAACAUAGGCAAUAAAUUGUAAAUUUAUUUAUGAAAUAAUUAAUUUCUUCCACCA